UGGUUCUGGCAUCGAUGAAGAACGCAGCGAAAUGCGAUAAGUAAUGCGAAUUGCAGAAUUCCGUGAGUCAUCGAAUCUUUGAACGCACAUUGCGCCCCCUGGUAUUCCGGAGGGCAUGCCUGUCCGAGCGUCAUUAAUCCGAUUCAAGCCCGGCUUGAUGGUGGGACCCACCGCCCCGGCGGUCGCCCCGAAAGACAAUGAUAGGCCCCGCGCGCCGUGGAUGCAGCGAGCUUUUUUUAGCACGCGUUCCGGCGCUGUGGGGCGCAUCUCAACCCCAAUCUUAGGUUGACCUCGGAUCAGACAGGGUUACCCGCUGA
rnacentral:misc_RNA from 1 species